UGGGGAAUUUUCCGCAAUGGGCGCAAGCCUGACGGAGCAAUACCGCGUGCGGGAGGACAGUCCAUCGGAUUGUAAACCGCUUUUCUCUGGGAAGAUGAUGACGGUACCAGAGGAAUCAGCAUCGGCUAACUCCGUGCCAGCAGCCGCGGUAAGACGGAGGAUGCAAGCGUUAUCCGGAAUGAUUGGGCGUAAAGCGUCCGCAGGUGGCUAGCCAAGUCCGCUGUCAAAGCGUGAGGCUUAACCUCAUACAGGCAGUGGAAACUGGAUAGCUAGAGGGUGGUAGGGGUAGAGGGAAUUCCCAGUGUAGCGGUGAAAUGCGUAGAUAUUGGGAAGAACACCAGUGGCGAAAGCGCUCUACUGGGCCAUACCUGACACUGAGGGACGAAAGCUAGGGGAGCGAAUGGGAUUAGAUACCCCAGUAGUC
rnacentral:rRNA from 1 species